CUAACGCCCGAGGCAUCGGAUUCCGUUUUGGGGAUUUAUUUCUGUUUGGAAAAACUUGGACAGUCAACCCUUAGGUGAGAGGAUUCCUUUUUUUCGUUUGGAUAUCGUUUCAUUGGGAAGAAUGCCUUCGUGUCGGGAGUGGGAGUGACCGUGAACUUUGAAAAGGAAGACGCUACAGCACGGACAUUAACGGGACAUUUAAAGAAAACAAAUCGGUUCUGAGAGACUAAGGAUUAUUAUAUUAUUUGGGUUUUUCUGUUGUUUGGUUUACUUGUGUUAUAUAAAAGAAUCUGAAUAACAAAGAGAAAAAACUGUUGUGUGUAAAUAUAUCCAUUUAAAGAAUCUAAUUACCCUAAAAAACGUAAUGAGCACUAUAAAUAAAUAGAUGAUCGUUACAGAGUGUACCUGCAAAUCAAAUAGACUGCUCAACUGACCACAUUAAAAGAAAAAGAUUAUUAAUCCCUUUACUAACAGUGUUUACAAGAAAAAAGUUAAGAUUUUACUAGAUAUUUUAACAGUGUACAAAUAUAAAUAGUAGCUUACUUGAGUAGUCCAUAUAAAUUUAUGACAAAUCAGUUAUGCCACUUUUUAAAAAAAUAUUUUUUUAACUUGUUACAGGUGGGUCUGAAGGACUCAAUCCCUGUUGAGCUGGCCCAUCACAGCUGUACAUGUGUAGCUGGAUCAGUGCUCUGUAACCAUUGUGUGGCUCUACUUUUCCAGUCUGCGCAUUAUUCUCAGCUUGACAUUCCAGUUGUUCCACCAGUGCUGAGCUGUACGGAGAGUGAACAACAGUGGCACAAGCCAAGAACCCUGGCAAGACUUGGAAUAAUGGUGUUAAACCAGGUCCCGUCGAGAAGAUGGCUGUGAUGUCUGCCAAACAAAAGCAGAGGACCAUGAUUGGGGGAGUAAAGUCCACAAUGUACAAAGCCAUCAGUGGACAGUUCCUGGACCUGUCCACUCUCAGUGUGUCAGAGACCUACAAAGAGUUCACCCCUGUUUCUGCACCAACCAUCUGAACAUCUGGAUUAUCCUCAUCUGAAAAUGAAAGACGGCAACCUGGAAUUGAAGCAGGGUCAUGGCUACUAAUGGGAGGUGCAGGGUCAGCUGCUCCUAACAGGGGUGGAGUGGUGCGAUUUUGUGGUGUUUGUGGAGGAAGACACCCUGAUUCAAAGAAUGUACCGUGACAGUGAUGUGAUGCAAAAAAUAAGAGAGAGAGAGCAGACUUCUUUUUCUACACAUACCUACGUAAAUAUUUGCUGUAAUAUUUGCACAUUUCCUGUUCUUGUUGAUAUCUCAUUAUAAUGUGAGUUGUUUCAAGUUAUUUAAAUUUGUCACGUAACUCAUUAGAAAAUAUGUGCUAAACAGAGUUGUAAUACUUUAAGGAUUUACCACUUGACUUAAAGUGUACAUAGCAAAGGUGAACACACACCAAUGUAUUGCUAGAUGUUAAAGGGGUAGUUCACACAACAAUUAAAAUUCUGUCAUCAUAUACACACCCUCGUGUUAUAAACCUGUAUAAAAUGUCUUGGUUCUGAUGAACACAAAGGAAGAUAUUUUGAGAAAUGUAACCAAAACAUUUGUGGACUCCAAUCUCUUCCAUAGUUUAAUUUUAUUCCUACCAUGGAAGUGAAUGGGGUCCACAAACGGUUUGGUUACAAACAUUUUUAAAAAUAUUUACCUGUGUUUAUCUGAACAAAGACAUUUUUACAGCUUUGUAACAACAUGAGAGUGUGAAAAUUAUGAACUCAUUUUCAUUUUUGGGCGAAGUGUCCCUUUAUUAAACUAAUAUUCAGUAAGUCAGGCCGACUUGAGGGGAAAUUAAAGAACACAAAAGGAGACCAAGGUAAUAUAGAUUUCAAAUAAAUAAUUUAUUAAUUAAAAAUUGAUGUUGCUGGUUCGAUAAGCCUCCAGAAUGCCAUCAGGUGGUCAUAAGAAUGGAAUCUUUUAAACAAAUACACAAAAAUAACAUUGUUGUUAGUCAUGGUAGGCUAAUUUAGUUACACAUAAUCAAUUAUCUUAAUUUUCACUCUUCUUACUACAUUUGUUUAACAUGAAGACAAUAAAAGGUUGUGUCUACGCAUCUGACUAUGUCAGUCAUAAACUACUUUACUUUGGAUAUUUGAUGUACACUUGAAGGAAAAUACUCUUCCUCUUGUAAGGUGGACUUUUAGUGGAGCAACAUUUUACAUGUGUGGUAGCCCGUCUUUACUUUCACUUAAGUGCAUGACUUUGUACAUGAUUUUCUGUCCAUCACUGUUAAUAUGGCACAAGGCAUCAUCUUCCUGCAAUUCAAAAAACCUUAAUUAUGACAUACCUGGUAUAAAAUCGGAUGUCCUCGUCUGAUCCUGCAAAUCGCUUUAGUCCAAAACAACUCCGCAGCUGGAGAGCCUCAAUGUGUAGUUCGAGCUCCUUAACUUUCUGGCGAAGUGUAUCGUUUUCCUCAGCUAGCUGAUCUGCGACCAUUGCAUUUGUAGGAGUAAUACAAUAAUCAUGAUCUGGUGCCAGGGUAUCCAGUUCCAUCUCUUCUUCUGAGUCGAUGUCAUGGACAGGAGGAGGGGGCCUAUCUGGUCUGGGUCUCCGCUCCCACACGCUCGCCCUCGGUGCCGGUAUUUGAAAAUCAUUCCAGGAAAAAA